GUUGAUUUGGUUACCCCUUGUGUUAAGCUGUAUUUUAAGUGUCCAUUUAAAGAGUUUGGCUUGUUGUUAUGAACAUUUUUUGUUUUGGCAAAGUUGAAGUUUUCUGAGCAUGUGUUAUGGCAUGUAUGUGUUUAAUUGGCUACCCCUUGUGUUAAGAUGUAUUUUGAGUGUUCUUUUCAUGAGUUUGGCUUGUUGUUAUGAACAUUGUUUGUUUUGGCGAGUCUGAAGGUUUGUGAGCAUGUGUAAUGACAUGGUUGUGUUGAAUCAGUUAAACCUUGUGUGAAGCUGUUGUUUUGGUGUUCUUUUGAUGAGUUUGGCUUGUUGUUAUGAUCAUUGUUUGUUUUGGCGAGUUUGAAGGUUUCUGAGCAUGUGUUAUAGCAGGUAUGUGUUUAAUUGGCUACCACUUGUGUGAAGCUGUUGUUUUAGUCUUCUUUUGAUGAGUUUGGCUUGUUGUUAUGAACAUUGUUCGUUUUGGCCAGUUUGAAGGUUUUUAAGCAUGUGUAAUGGCAUGAAUGUGUUGAAUUAGUAAUCCCUUGUGUUAAGAUGUUGUUUUAGUAUUCUUUUGAUGAGUUUGGCUAGUUUUUAUUAAAAGUGUUUGUUUUGGCGAGUUUGAACGUUUUUGAGCAUGUGUAAUGGCAUGAAUGCGUUAAGCUGUUGUUUUAGUGUUCUUUUGAUGAGUUUGGCUUGUUGUUAUGAACAGUGUUUGUUUUUGCGAGUUUGAAGGUUUUUGAGCAUGUGUAAUGGCAUGAAUGCGUUGAGCUGUUGUUUUAGUGUUCUUUUGAUGAGUUUGGCUUGUUGGUAUGAAAAGUGUUUUGGCGAGUUUGAAGGUUUUUGAGCAUGUGUAAUGGCAUGAAUGCAUUAAGCUGUUGUUUCAGUGUUCUUUUGAUGAGUUUGGCUUGUUGUUAUGAACAGUGUUUGUUUUUGCGAGUUUGAAGGUUUUUGAGCAUGUGUAAUGGCAUGAAUGUGUUGAGCUGUUGUUUUAGUGUUCUUUUGAUGAGUUUGGCUUGUUGUUAUGAAAAGUGUUUGUUUUGGCGAGUUUGAACGUUUUUGAGCAUGUGUAAUGGCAUGAAUGCGUUAAGCUGUUGUUUUAGUGUUCUUUUGAUGAGUUUGGCUUGUUGUUAUGAACAUUGUUCGUUUUGGCCAGUUUGAACGUUUUUGAGCAUGUGUAAUGGCAUGAAUGUGUUGAAUUAGUAAUCCCUUGUGUUAAGAUGUUGUUUUAGUAUUCUUUUGAUGAGUUUGGCUAGUUUUUAUUAAAAGUGUUUGUUUUGGCGAGUUUGAACGUUUUUGAGCAUGUGUAAUGGCAUGAAUGCGUUAAGCUGUUGUUUUAGUGUUCUUUUGAUGAGUUUGGCUUGUUGUUAUGAGCAUUGUUUGUUUUGGCGAGUUUGAAGGUUUUUGAGCAUGUGUAAUGGCAUGAAUGUGUGAAGCUGUUGUUUUAGUGUUCUUUUGAUGAGUUUGGCUUGUUGUUAUGAACAGUUUGUUUUGGCGAGUUUGAAGGUUUUUGAGCAUGUUUAAUGGCAUGUUUGUGUUAAGCAGUUGUUUUAGUGUUCAUUUGAUAAGUUUGGCUUGUUAUGUAAAGUGUUUGUUUUGGCGAGUUUGAACGUUUUUGAGCAUGUGUAAUGGCAUGAAUGCGUUAAGCUGUUGUUUUAGUGUUCUUUUGAUGAGUUUGGCUUGUUGUUAUGAACAGUGUUUGUUUUUGCGAGUUUGAAGGUUUUUGAGCAUGUGUAAUGGCAUGAAUGCGUUAAGCUGUUGUUUUAGUGUUGUUUUGAUGAGUAUUGGCUUGUUGUCAUGAGCAUUGUUUGUUUUGGCGAGUUUGAAGGUUUUUGAGUAUGUGUAAUGGCAUGAAUGUGUGAAGCUGUUGUUUUAGUGUUCUUUUGAUGAGUUUGGCUUGUUGUUAUGAACAGUUUGUUUUGGCGAGUUUGAAGGUUUUUGAGCAUGUUUAAUGGCAUGUUUGUGUUAAGCAGUUGUUUUAGUGUUCUUUUGAUAAGUUUGGCUUGUUAUGAAAAGUGUUUGUUUUGGCGAGUUUGAACGUUUUUGAGCAUGUGUAAUGGCAUGAAUGCGUUAAGCUGUUGUUUUAGUGUUCUUUUGAUGAGUUUGGCUUGUUGUUAUGAACAGUGUUUGUUUUUGCGAGUUUGAAGGUUUUUGAGCAUGUGUAAUGGCAUGAAUGUGUUGAAUUAGUAAUCCCUUGUGUUAAGCUGUUGUUUAAGUGUUCUUUUGAUGAGUUUGGCUUGUUGUUAUGAGUAGUGUUUGUUUUGCAAGUUUGAAGACUUUUGAGCAUGUGUAAUGACACGUAUGUGUUGAAUUAGUUAACCCUUGUGUUAAGCUGUUACUUUAGUGUUCUUUUGAUGAGAUGGCGUGUUUUUAUGAACAUUGUUUGUUUUGGCGAGUUUGAAAGGUUUUUGAGCAUGUGUUUUGGCACGUAUGUGUUGAUUUGGUUACCCCUUGUGUUAAGCUGUAUUUUAAGUGUCCAUUUAAAGAGUUUGGCUUGUUGUUAUGAAAAUUUUUGUUUUGGCGAAGUUGAAGUUUUCUGAGCAUGUGUUAUGGCAUGUAUGUGUUUAAUUGGCUACCCCUUGUGUUAAGAUGUAUUUUGAGUGUUCUUUUGAUGAGUUUGGCUUGUUGUUAUGGACAUUGUUUGUUUUGGCGAGUCUGAAGGUUUGUUAGCAUGUGUAAUGACAUGGUUGUGUUGAAUUAGUUAAACCUUGUGUGAAGCUGUUGUUUUGGUGUUCUUUUGAUGAGUUUGGCUUGUUGUUAUGAUCAUUGUUUGUUUUGGCGAGUUUGAAGGUUUCUGAGCAUGUGUUAUAGCAGGUAUGUGUUUAAUUGGCUACAUCUUGUGUGAAGCUGUUGUUUUAGUGUUCUUUUGAUGAGUUUGGCUUGUUGUUAUGAACAUUGUUCGUUUUGGCCAGUUUGAAGGUUUUUGAGCAUGUGUAAUGGCAUGAAUGUGUUGAAUUAGUAAUCCCUUGUGUUAAGAUGUUGUUUUAGUAUUCUUUUGAUGAGUUUGGCUUGUUGUUAUUAAAAGUGUUUGUUUUGGCGAGUUUGAACGUUUUUGAGCAUGUGUAAUGGCAUGAAUGCGUUAAGCUGUUGUUUUAGUGUUCUUUUGAUGAGUUUGGCUUGUUGUUAUGAAAAGUGUUUUGGCGAGUUUGAAGGUUUUUGAGCAUGUGUAAUGGCAUGAAUGCAUUAAGCUGUUGUUUCAGUGUUCUUUUGAUGAGUUUGGCUUGUUGUUAUGAACAGUGUUUGUUUUUGCGAGUUUGAAGGUUUUUGAGCAUGUGUAAUGGCAUGAAUGCGUUAAGCUGUUGUUUUAGUGUUGUUUUGAUGAGUAUUGGCUUGUUGUCAUGAGCAUUGUUUGUUUUGGCGAGUUUGAAGGUUUUUGAGUAUGUGUAAUGGCAUGAAUGUGUGAAGCUGUUGUUUUAGUGUUCUUUUGAUGAGUUUGGCUUGUUGUUAUGAACAGUUUGUUUUGGCGAGUUUGAAGGUUUUUGAGCAUGUUUAAUGGCAUGUUUGUGUUAAGCAGUUGUUUUAGUGUUCUUUUGAUAAGUUUGGCUUGUUAUGUAAAGUGUUUGUUUUGGCGAGUUUGAACGUUUUUGAGCAUGUGUAAUGGCAUGAAUGCGUUAAGCUGUUGUUUUAGUGUUCUUUUGAUGAGUUUGGCUUGUUGUUAUGAAAAGUGUUUUGGCGAGUUUGAAGGUUUUUGAGCAUGUGUAAUGGCAUGAAUGCAUUAAGCUGUUGUUUCAGUGUUCUUUUGAUGAGUUUGGCUUGUUGUUAUGAACAGUGUUUGUUUUUGCGAGUUUGAAGGUUUUUGAGCAUGUGUAAUGGCAUGAAUGCGUUAAGCUGUUGUUUUAGUGUUGUUUUGAUGAGUUUGGCUUGUUGUUAUGAGCAUUGUUUGUUUUGGCGAGUUUGAAGGUUUUUGAGCAUGUGUAAUGGCAUGAAUGUGUGAAGCUGUUGUUUUAGUGUUCUUUUGAUGAGUUUGGCUUGUUGUUAUGAACAGUUUUUUUUGGCGAGUUUGAAGGUUUUUGAGCAUGUUUAAUGGCAUGUCUGUGUUAAGCAGUUGUUUAAGUGUUCAUUUGAUAAGUUUGGCUUGUUAUGUAAAGUGUUUGUUUUGGCGAGUUUGAACGUUUUUGAGCAUGUGUAAUGGCAUGAAUGCGUUAAGCUGUUGUUUUAGUGUUCUUUUGAUGAGUUUGGCUUGUUGUUAUGAACAGUGUUUGUUUUUGCGAGUUUGAAGGUUUUUGAGCAUGUGUAAUGGCAUGAAUGUGUUGAAUUAGUAAUCCCUUGUGUUAAGCUGUUGUUUAAGUGUUCUUUUGAUGAGUUUGGCUUGUUGUUAUGAGUAUUGUUUGUUUUGGCGAGUUUGAAGGCUUUUGAGCAUGUGUAAUGACACGUAUGUGUUGAAUUAGUUAACCCUUGUGUUAAGCUGUUACUUUAGUGUUCUUUUGAUGAGAUGGCGUGUUUUUAUGAACAUUGUUUGUUUUGGCGAGUUUGAAAGGUUUUUGAGCAUGUGUUUUGGCACGUAUGUGUUGAUUUGGUUACCCCUUGUGUUAAGCUGUAUUUUAAGUGUCCAUUUAAAGAGUUUGGCUUGUUGUUAUGAACAUUUUUUGUUUUGGCGAAGUUGAAGUUUUCUGAGCAUGUGUUAUGGCAUGUAUGUGUUUAAUUGGCUACCCCUUGUGUUAAGAUGUAUUUUGAGUGUUCUUUUCAGGAGUUUGGCUUGUUGUUAUGGACAUUGUUUGUUUUGGCGAGUCUGAAGGUUUGUUAGCAUGUGUAAUGACAUGGUUGUGUUGAAUUAGUUAAACCUUGUGUGAAGCUGUUGUUUUGGUGUUCUUUUGAUGAGUUUGGCUUGUUGUUAUGAUCAUUGUUUGUUUUGGCGAGUUUGAAGGUUUCUGAGCAUGUGUUAUAGCAGGUAUGUGUUUAAUUGGCUACCACUUGUGUGAAGCUGUUGUUUUAGUCUUCUUUUGAUGAGUUUGGCUUGUUGUUAUGAACAUUGUUCGUUUUGGCCAGUUUGAAGGUUUUUAAGCAUGUGUUAUGUCACCUAUGUGUUUAAUUGGCUACCACUUGUGUUAAGCUGUUGUUUAAGUCUUUUGAUGAGUUUGGCUUGUUGUUAUGAACAUUGUUUGUUUUGGCGAGUUUGAAGGUUUUUGAGCAUGUGUAAAGGCAUGUAUGUGUUGAAUUAGUUAACCCUUGUGUGAAGCUGUUGUUUUAGUCUUCUUUUGAUCAGUCUGAAGGUUUGUGCGCAUGUGUUAUGGCUCGUAUGUGUUGAAUUUGCUACCCCUUGUGCUAAAUUGUAUUUUAAGUGUUCUUUUAAAGAGUUUGGCUUGUUGUUCGGAUCAUUGUUUGUUUUGGGGAGUUUGAAGGUUUUUGAGCAUGUGUUAUGGCAUGUAUGUGUUGAAUUAGUAUACCCUUGUGUUUAGCUGUUGUUGAAGUGUUCUUUUAAAGAGUUUGGCUUCUUGUUAUGAUCAUUGUUUGUUUUGGCGAGUUUGAAGGUUUGUGAACACGUUUUAUGGCAUGCAUCUGUUGAUUUUUUUUACCCCCUGUGUUUAGCUGUUGUUUAAGUGUUCUUUUGAUGUGUUGGCUUGUUGCUAUGAUCGUUGUUUGUACUGGCGAGUUUGAAGGUUUGUGCGCAUGUGUUGAAUUUGCUACCCCUUGUGCUAAAUUGUAUUUUAAGUGUUCUUUUAAAGAGUUUGGCUUGUUGUUAUGAUCAUUGUUUGUUUUGGCGAGUUUGAAGGUUUGUGAGCAUGUGUUUUGGCAUGCAUCUGUUGAGUUUGUUACCCCCUGUGUUUAGCUGUUGUUUAAGUGUUCUUUUGAUGUGUUGGCUUCUUGUUAUGAUCGUAGUUUGUAUUGGUGAGGUUUUUUUUAUGCUCAAUUUGACAUACUCUUUGAAAACAUGAAGUCAAAAUUUUCACCGGGUCAAUACUAAAGCCAGGACAAAUUCUGUCCCUUUAGUGCCUCUCAGUGGCCAAUACUUAAUCAGACAUAAACAUCAAAAAACAUCAUCAAAAACUGGUGAUCUUCCACAGGUAAUCAAAGUCUUGAAUAUGUCAAAGAUUAGUAAUAUCAUUGACUUUAUUCCCUUUUUAGUUUUUCUGUAGCAUCAGGUUUAAUAAAAAACUCCCUUUGGCGUCCCUCAGUGGCCAAAACUACUUUGUCUGCUGUAAAAUAUAUUGGAUUAAUAUUUUUUUCAGAUUUUUUUCAUAUAUCUCUUAUUUUACUUCUGCCCUGUUCAAAACUAGCAAAUGUUUCAUUGAAAAUAAAAAUUUUAACCCUAUAAGGGCCCAUUUCAGACCUAAAGUCACUUAUCAAGCAAAAAAAAAAAGGAAGGAAAAUGACCUAUUUUUUUAAUAAAACAUAAUCCGAAGCCGGUGAUUUUUUACAAGGUGCAUAGGCUUGGGCAUGUGGAGGAUUAGAAACAUCAGAAUGUUUGGUACAUUUUUGUGUAACAGAUUUUCAUAAAAACUGCAUUGAUUAAGUGGUUUUAUAAGUGCAUUCCCUUUACUAACAUCAGAGCAUUCUCUUUCACUGACUGCAGGUGGUAGUAAUGUGUGAGACAGUAUUCAGUGUGCGUUUGUGUGCACGUGCGUGCAUUUGCGUGUGUGUGCGUGUAUGUGUGAGUGUGUGUGUAACAAACAAUAUAAGAUUGGAACACAACCAUAUUUUAUUGCUCAAAAUACAUCAACAAAAAUAGAAGGUGGUGUGUGUGUGUGUGUGUGUGUGUGUGUGUGUGUGUGUGUGUGUGUGUGUGUGUGUGUGUGUGUGUGUGUGUGUGUGUGUGUGUGUGUGAGUGAACAUGUGUGUGUGUGCUUACCAAACCUGAAAGGUUAGGUAAGCAAGGUUGGUAAGCAAGGUGGAAAGAGAGACACCCAGAUAUGGGUUUCUACGACCCAUUCUUUCCAACACCUCCCAGUCGUUGUCUGUUCCCUUCUCCAGUAAGAUAAAUAUCUGCUCCUCACACUAGCAAUUUUAGAACUGAAGAAGCUUCUUGGAUAAGAGGCAAAACACCUUCUCAACUCUACACAGUCCAGUUGCCUGUUUUUAAGUCUAAAUCUUGCCCCAAGUGGCUUUUUUUAGCCACACCGUUACAUUAGGGAUAAACUUUAAAAAAUGCACGAUCAUCAGAGAUAAAAACUAAACGUUAUUGCCUUGAUACUUACUCAUCUUUACCAAUAUCAUCUACACUGAUUUUAAUGAUAGGAUUUUCAGUAACCAGCUACAUCACCAAUGAUAGACCUUUCAUGCAAAUGAAUUCAGUUAGUUUAAACACUCACACUAAAGGUUAAAUUUAGGGUGUGUGACUUGAUUCUGAGCAGUGUACAGCAAACCUGGGUCAUGGAAAGGAAAAAAGAGAAAAGGGACUAGGUUUCAUUUUCUGAAAUAAGUGACAAAAAGUAUUAAACUUUUCAUGCUAUUCUAAAUGUAAAUGACCCACAUUAUGUGUUUGUAUCAGCAGUCUUAUUUUGAAGUUAAAAUCUCUAUUUUCGAUUAUUUUAUUUCCUGUGAGUAAUAUAACAGAGACCGAUCCCCUUAUUUUGAAAGAAUUUUCACCGGAAGUUAGAAGUCAAUGAACAGUAAAAGAUAUGAAAAGUCAGGAUCACAAUCGUCAAUAAGGAUCUCUUAAGUUGUAAAGUACCUGGUUGAUAGAGGCACAACAUAUGCUUCUUUUCUCACACAAAUUAAUAUGAAGUGCCUUUUUAAGAGUUUUUAUGAAAUUUGAUCGAGUUUCGUGUUGCUGAGUACUAGUAAAGAUGCUACAGUUACGAUGAUGGUUACAGUUAACACAGAUGACACAGUUAACACAAGAAAGUUGAUUUCAUUGUUCUUGAAGGUGUAUAAAAUAUAUAAUUUUAAUCAAACGAUUUUCUGUUACAGAAAGUGUAUUAAUAUUGUUCCUAUUGUUUUUUCGCUAGCUCUUGCGGUGUGUUCACACUCUUUAAUGGAAGUUUAAAGAUGGAAGUUUAAAGGAACCAUUUUAAAAAUAAAACUUUGUGAAACAUCAGUUGGAGAGUCAGUCCAUAAAUCAACCAGGAUGCGACAGUAAAUUUAACGAUAUGUAUAUAUAGAUACACAGUCAAGAUAUGCAACAUAACCAUUGAUCUAAUAAUCGGAUCCUAUUCUGAGUUAUUUUUACAUUUACUAAUUUUGGAUAACUAAAAAUUUUUUUCUAUUUAGAAAAACAUAAGAUCAAGCUUAAGAUCUGACAAUUAAAUGAAAAAUUAUCACACACCCCCUUUUCAAACUUACCAGUUCGUUCAAGCCUUCAGGACCGAAUGUGCUCUGCCUCUCCGUUUGCAUCUUUUCAGCCUGUGCCUUCUCAAAUCGCCGUUCACAGACAUUGUGAUGAUCUUUUAGCUUGUCCAGAUGACGAAGCAGAUGCUACUGGGCCUGCAAAAAACAGAAAAUAUAGUUUUAACUACAAUGGUGAACCAAAUUGAACAUCUAUUCCCCUUUUUCUUUUAUUACACAAGACAACAAAGGAAAGCUGGGCUGCUGUGACAAAAAUAUCCUGUAUGUGCUGAGACACCAAGGCUUACUAAAUAUAGAACUACCUCAAUAAUUUAAAGAUCAAGGUUUUAAGACCAAUGAUAUGCAUAGUUGAUCAAAUGUGUAUUUAUACACAUUUUAUGCUAAAUUGUAGUGUACCUCUUGAUUUCCAGAGCCCAAAGAUGUCUUCAUGACCUUGGGCUUUGCUAGUUCACAGCCUGUUUUCACCUCAGCACCUGAGAAUAAAUAUAAAAGGUCAAUCAUGGAUAUCUUGAAGACUUAAAACAGGCAACUGGACUGUGUAGAGUUGAGAAGACGUUUCGCCUCUUAUCCAAGAAGCUUCUUCAGUUCUAAAAGUGCUAGUGUCAGGAGCAGAUAUUUAUCUUACUGGAGAAGGGGGACAGUUAACGACUGGGUGGAGUUGAAAAGAAUGGGUCGUAGAAACCCAUCUCUGGGUGUGUGUCCCCCCAAGUCGUGAACCUGAAAGGGUCGUUAGCGACUCCUGUCAUGUGACCACAUGACUCAUGCCACCUGGGUCAUGUGGUUCCAGGUGUGAAUGUUUGUGGAGCUUCCUGGGGAGAGAGCUGAGAACUGCAUUGUAAGUGCCAGAAAGAUUGUGCCUGAGUCCACCCCCUCUGAGUGUGGACUCAGUGGUGGCUGAGUGUUCUGAUGACACCCAGUUUGUGCUGCAGAGGAUGGUGGGAAUCAAAAAGUAAAUAUUAAUCUGUGUGUGUUGGUUUCCUGUACACUUCAACGUUGAGACACCCAUCUGCCUCCAAGUGUACAGCACAGUCCAAAAAGGCCAACACAGUGUCCUUGACAUCUUCACUUGACAGCUUCUUGGAUAAGAGGCGAAACGUCUUCUCAACUCUACACAGUCCAGUUGCCUGUUUUAAGUCUUCAAGAUAACCAUGACCUGGAUGAAUGAGAAUCUACAUGGUCAAUCAUGGAUAUGACUGAUUAAUUACAAACUCAAUUACACAGAUACAAUCAAUUUAAAAAUUGAUCUCAGACAUGUUGAUUAAUAAAAAAACAUAAGCCAACAAUAUUAUAUUUUGUUUGACAGCAUACAUAACCCUUGUGAAACCGUUAGAUUUAGAUCAGUUGUUAAUGCUCAGUGGCUAAAAAAAAUCACUGACAUUAACCGCUGUAAAAACAUAUUGGAUUCAUAUUUUUUCUAGAUUUUUUUCACACAUCUCUUAAUUAACUUCUGCUGUAUUCAAAACUAGUAAAUGUGUCAUUAAAAAUCAAAAUUUUAACCCUUUAAGGGCCAAUUUAAAACAUAAAGUCACUAAUAUUAGGAAAAAAUGAAAAAAUGUAACCAAUGUUAACAUUAGAACCAAACCAUAUUUUAUCGCUCAAAAUGCAAUAAAACAAAAGCCAUAAAUACACAACAACAGAGUAUCAAACCAGAACAAACGACUAACUUUUGAGGGUGAAGCGGUGGAGAGGACUGAAAGAAACCUGGGGAGCCUAAGAGAGCGAAUGUGUGAGAAAUUGAGUGAGCAAAGAGAGAUAAAAUGUAAAAGUGUGUGUGUUUGUUUGAGUGAGUGAGUGAGUGAGUGAGUGAGUGAGUGAGUGAGUGAGUGAGUGAGUGAGUGAGUGAGUGAGUGAGUGAGUGAGUGAGUGAGUGAGUGAGUGUGUGUGUGUGUGUGUGUGUGUGUGUGUGUGUGUGUGUGUGUGUGUGUGUGUGUGUGUGUGUGUGUUUGUGUGUUCAAUGUUUGAAGCAAGACCGGCAGGAGAUCUCUCUGUGGUCAUGCCAGAUGUGUUUCCAAACAGGCCAGACAAAAUCCGAAGCCCCAAAAGAUGUGUGUUUGCGUGCGUGUCUGCAUGCGUGCAUGUGAGUGUGUGCAUGUGAGAGAGAGAGGGGAGGAGCCUGCAGGUCAUGACCCAGCACUGACCCCGCCACAAAAGUUAACUAUGUUCUUCAGCUCUCAGAAGUACAGAGAGGGGGAAAAAAAUAAACAAAAACAAAAGUGAGCUGUCCUGCAAUCCACAACUUGCAGAUUCUAAUGACCAUUUUUUCAUGAGAAGAGCAAGAGAAAGCAUGAAGAGAAGCUUCUGCACCACGGAGGCCCUUGCAAUUGUCAUUGAUUCUGAUGGGAUGGAAUCUGACCCCCCACAGGAUCCAUCAUCAUUGUCUGGCCUAUUUUGUUCGAGGGGUGAAUCUACUGCCUCGCAGUGAGAUGUGGAUCUCUCCUGGAACCGGAGAAAGUGAUUCAGGAGGAGGCUUUUCGUGGAGGACCUGGGAACGGCUUUGGUGUCAAAAAGAACUAACAAAACCUGUGAGUUAUGUGUGAAACACAUCUGGCAUGAACACAGAGUGAUCUCCUGCAGGUCUUGCUUCAAACACUGAACACACACACACACACACACACAGAGCUGAGUUCUGGCUCAGCACAUUACGACCAAGCUGGUACCGAAAGAGAAUGCAAGUAUAGAAAAGACACAAAUAGUGCAAGUGUUUUUAUGAGUGUUUUGUGAAAGUUUCUAUGAAAAUUAGACAUUACACAAAAUGUAUCAUAGUUUCUGAGGUUUCUAAUCUUUCACAAGGCCAAGACCAUGCAACAUGUAAAAAAUCACCUGUUUCUGAUUAUGCUUUAUGAUGAAAAUAGGUCAUUUUUGUGUAUAUGUCUACCAUGUCAGUGACAUUAUGCUUUGAAUGGACCCUCAAAGGGUUAAAAAAAUGUUUUUAUAUGAAACAUUUACUAGUUUUGAUCAAAGCAGAAGUUACUUAAGAGAUAUAUGAAAAAAACUGAAAAAAAAUAUUAACCCAAUAUCUUUUUACAGCAGUCAAAGUUAGUGGCUUUAUUUAGCCACUGAGUGUAAACAAAGAAUAGAAAAUUUGCCCAGCCCGUAUUUUUGACCUGGUGAAAAUUUUGAAGUCAUAUUUUCAAAGUGUCCAUCAAUAUAGGCAUCUGCACAAAAAAUCAUCCCAUUUGCUGCAGUUAAAAACAAAGUUACAUGGAAAUUAGUGGCUAAAUUUUGCCCCAAGUGGCUUUUUUUAGCCACACCGUUACAUUAGGGAUAAACUUUAGAAAAUGCACGAUCAUCAGAGAUAAAAACUAAACGUUAUUGCCUUGAUACUUACUCAUCUUUACCAAAAUCAUCUACACUGAUUUAAAUGAUAGGAUUUUAAGUAACCAGCUACAUCACCUAUGAUAGUCCAUUCAUGCAAAUGAAUUCAGUUAGUUAAAACACUCACACUAAAAGUUAAAUUUAGGGUGUGUGACUUGAUUCUGAGCUGUGUACAGCGAAUCUGGGUCAUGGAAAGGAAAAAAGAGAAAAGGGACUAG